rnacentral:rRNA from 1 species
AUGUCAAGUGCAAAACAGGUGCUUGAUCCUGCAUUUCAAGGAGCUGGCCAAAAACCUGGGACAGAAAUAUGGCGGAUUGAAGAUUUUAAGCCAGUUCCUUUGCCAAAGUCAGAUUAUGGUAAAUUCUACUGUGGAGAUUCAUAUAUUGUUCUGCAGACGACUUGUAACAGGGGCGGUGCUUACCUCUCUGACAUUCACUUCUGGAUUGGGAAAGAUUCUAGUCAGGAUGAAGCUGGCACUUCAGCAAUCAAGACAGUUGAACUUGAUUCCAUGCUUGGGGGUCGUGCAGUCCAGCACAGGGAACCCCAAGGCUAUGAAUCUGAUAAGUUCCUAUCAUACUUCAAGCCAUGCAUUAUACCCAUGGAGGGAGGUUUUGCUUCUGGGUUUAGAAAGCCAGAGGAGGACAAAUUUGAAACACGGCUGUAUAUUUGCAAAGGAAAGAGAGCUAUCAGAGUUAAAGAGGUUCCAUUUGCUCGUUCCUCACUAAACCACGAUGAUGUCUUUAUCUUAGAUACUGAAAAGAAAAUAUAUCAAUUCAAUGGUGCUAACUCCAAUAUUCAAGAAAGAGCCAAAGCACUGGAAGUGAUCCAACAUUUAAAGGACAAGUACCAUGAAGGAGUUUGUGAUGUUGCAAUUGUUGAUGAUGGAAAAUUGCAAGCAGAAUCAGAUUCCGGUGAAUUCUGGGUGGUUUUUGGUGGUUUUGCACCAAUAGGGAAGAAAGCUAUAAGUGAUGAUGAUGUUAUUCUUGAAGCUACACCAACAAAGCUUUACAGUGUCAAUAAUGGUAAACUGACGUUAGAAGAUACCGUUUUGACAAAAUCAAUUCUUGAGAACACUAAAUGCUUUUUACUUGACUGCGGGUCCGAGUUAUAUGUAUGGGUUGGUCGAGUAACACAAGUGGAUGAUAGGAAAGCUGCAAGUGUGGCGGUUGAGGAAUUCAUUGUUAAGCAAAAUAGGCCAAAGACAACAAGAGUAACUCAAGUAAUUCAAGGUUAUGAGGACCAUACGUUCAAGUCCAAAUUUGAUUCGUGGCCUGUAACUAACGCGGCAGGAGCCAGCGGGGAGGAUGGCCGAGGAAAAGUUGCAGCGCUGUUGAAGAAAAAAGGUGAUGUCAAGGGAGCCUCAAAAAACAGCCCUGCAGUAAAUGAGGAAAUUCUUCCUUUGCUAGAAGGCGGUGGAAAGCUUGAGGUAUGGUGUGUUGAUGGCAGUGCUAAGACUGCUCUUCCGAAGGAAGAUCUUGGAAAAUUUCAUAGCGGGGAUUGUUAUAUUGUUCUCUACACAUAUCAUUCGGGUGACAAAAGAGAAGAAUUCUAUCUAACUUACUGGAUUGGGAAGAAUAGUAUACUGGAAGAUCAGCAUACGGCUCUUCAAAUAACUAAUACAAUUUGGAAUUCAAUGAAAGGAAGACCUAUUCUGGGUCGUAUUUAUGAAGGGAAGGAGCCUCCACAGUUUAUUGCUCUUUUCCAGCCCAUGGUUAUUCUUAAGGGUGGAAUCAGCUGUGGGUACAAGAAUUCUGUACAAGAGAAGGGCUUGCCAGAUGAAACAUAUCCUGGCACUGGUGUCGCUCUUGUUAGAAUUAAUGGAACAUCAAUUCAUAACAAUAAAACACUUCAAGUCGAUGAGGUGUCAACAUCCUUGAGUUCCACGAAUUGUUUUGUCUUGCAAUCUGGAAAUUCAGUGUUUAUAUGGAUUGGCAACACAAGUUCUUAUGAACAACAACAGUGGGCUGCAAAAAUUGCUGAGUUCUUGAAGCCUGGCGUUGCUGUCAAACAUUGCAAGGAGGGAACUGAAAGCUCUUCUUUCUGGUCUGCUCUUGGUGGAAAACAGGAUUACUCAAAUAAAAAUGCCACACAGGAUGUUGUUAGAGAACCCCAUCUCUACACAUUCUCAUUUAGGAAUGGCAAGCUGGAGGUAACUGAAGUUUACAAUUUUUCACAAGAUGAUCUGUUGACCGAAGAUGUGAUGGUACUUGACACACAUGCCGAAGUCUUUGUCUGGAUGGGUCAGUGUGUGGACACAAAAGAGAAACAAAUGGCAUUUGAAAUUGGCGAGAAAUACAUAGAACAUGCGGUGACCUUCGAAGGUCUUGCUCCUGACGUGCCUCUCUAUAAAGUCAGUGAAGGGAAUGAACCUUGCUUCUUUAGGACAUACUUCUCCUGGGAUAACACAAGAUCUCUGAUUCACGGGAAUUCAUUUCAGAAGAAACUUUCACUUAUGUUUGGAAUGCGUUCAGAGAGCGGGCCUAAGGGCUCAGGUGAUGGUGGACCAACUCAAAGGGCAUCAGCACUGGCUGCACUUUCAUCCGCUUUUAAUCCAUCUUCCCAGGAUAAACAGUCUACUGAUAGGCCUCAAAGCUCUGGUGAUGGUGGACCUACUCAGCGUGCUUCGGCAUUGGCUGCAUUAUCAUCUGCACUCAAUACGUCAGGGAAACCCAAAAGCCCACAAUCACAAUCUCGUGCAGGUCAAGGGUCUCAGAGAGCAGCUGCUGUUUCAGCAUUGUCUAAUGUUUUAGCUGCCGAAAGUCCCCGCAUUGAUGCAGAGGGUGAAGCAGCGGGGUCCUCAGAAUUUGAUAUGGUGGAUGAGGGGGAGCGAACUGAGCCUGACGUAUCACGGGAAGAGACUGCCAACGAAAAUGGUGGUGAAACAGUCUUCAGCUAUGACCGUCUGAUAUCAAAGUCUACCGACCCUGUCCGUGGAAUAGAUUACAAGCGCAGAGAGACAUAUUUGUCGGACAGUGAAUUCCAGACUGUAUUUGGUAUGAGCAAGGAGGAGUUCUACAAGCAGCCAAGGUGGAAGCAAGAACAGCAGAAAAGAAAAGCGGAUCUUUUCUGA